GGGUUGUGAGGUUAAGCGACUAAGCGUACACGGUGGAUGCCCUGGCAGUCAGAGGCGAUGAAGGACGUGCUAAUCUGCGAUAAGCGUCGGUGAGGUGAUAUGAACCGUUAUAACCGGCGAUUUCCGAAUGGGGAAACCCAGUGUGUUUCGGCACACUAUCAUUAACUGAAUCCAUAGGUUAAUGAGGCGAACCGGGGGAACUGAAACAUCUAAGUACCCCGAGGAAAAGAAAUCAACCGAGAUUCCCCCAGUAGCGGCGAGCGAACGGGGAGGAGCCCAGAGCCUGAAUCAGUGUGUGUGUUAGUGGAAGCGUCUGGAAAGGCG
rnacentral:rRNA from 1 species